GUUCACUUCCACAGAACAUAUACUAAAACUGGGAUGAUACAGAGAAGAUUAGCCUGGAUCCUGUGCAAGGAUGACACGCAAAUUUGUGAAGCGUUCCAUAUUUUU